rnacentral:lncRNA from 1 species
CAUUUUCAAGACUAUGAAAGGUUUGGAUUUUAGCUUCAGGAACGAAGAACUUCGCCAUAGCAGCAUUGUCGUAGCCCUGCUCUAGAGUGCAUGUGUUAUGAUUUCUCAACUUCCCAAACUGAGUAUCACCAGGUAAUGCUUUUAUAUUUUCUGAAUUUGGACCUGCAUUUAACACUCUGACAUUCACUGAGGAAGAAACAGGAGCUUGACAUUUAGAAGCCAGUUGCUCAUGUGUAACAUUUUGACCAGGAGGAGAAACUUCUUUGUCCGCUUUGUCACCCUCUCCAUCCACAGCAGGAAGCUCCUGCCGCCGCGCUGUUAGGUCAUCGAACUUCUCUGAUCUAGAUAACAAGUCAAAUUGAUGUUCAACCAUUUGAUCAUCCACGUUGGAUACAACAAUCGGGACAUCUCCUGUUGCUUCCACAUUACGGGAACAAGCUUUGGGAUUCGGGAUUGGUUUAAGGGAAACAUAUUGAAC